rnacentral:rRNA from 1 species
CCUACGGGAGGCAGCAGUGGGGGAUAUUGCACAAUGGGGGAAACCCUGAUGCAGCGACGCCGCGUGAGUGAAGAAGUAUUUCGGUAUGUAAAGCUCUAUCGGCAGGGAAGAAAAAAAUGACAGUACCUGACUAAGAAGCCCCGGCUAACUACGGGCCAGCAGCCGCGGUAAUACGUAGGGGGCAAGCGUUAUCCGGAUUUACUGGGUGUAAAGGGAGCGUAGACGGCAGCGCAAGUCUGGAGUGAAAUGCCGGGGCCCAAACCCGGGACUGCUUUGGAAAC